GAUGAACGCUGGCGGCGUGCUUAACACAUGCAAGUCGAACGGAAAGGCUCCUGCUUGCAGGGGUACUCGAGUGGCGAACGGGUGAGUAACACGUGGGUGAUCUGCCCUGCACUUCGGGAUAAGCCUGGGAAACUGGGUCUAAUACCGGAUAGGACGAUGGUUUGGAUGCCAUUGUGGAAAGUUUUUCGGUGUGGGUUGAGCUCGCGGCCUAUCAGCUUGUUGGUGGGGUAAUGGCCUACCAAGGCGUCGACGGGUAGCCGGCCUGAGAGGGUGUACGGCCACAUUGGGACUGAGAUACGGCGCAGACUCCUACGGGAGGCAGCAGUGGGGAAUAUUGCACAAUGGGCGCAAGCCUGAUGCAGCGACGCCGCGUGGGGGAUGACGGCCUUCGGGUUGUAAACUCCUUUCGCUAGGGACGAAGCGCAAGUGACGGUACCUGGAGAAGAAGCACCGGCUAACUACGUG
rnacentral:rRNA from 1 species